rfam:Erwinia carotovora subsp. atroseptica SCRI1043, complete genome
GAAGGCACGACAUUGCUCACAUUGCUUCCAGUAUUAUUUAGCCAGCUCGGGUGCUGGCUUUUUUUU